rnacentral:misc_RNA from 1 species
UAAUAGACGUUGAAGAAAAGGGUCCCUUAAAACGGUCAGACAGUGAUUCUAGGUGAGUGAGAACUAGAACAAGUUUUAAGUGGAUUGGCAUUUCGGAGUCAUACCAAUGAAGCAGCAGCUCGCUUUGAGCUGAAGUAGGGUGGAACCGCGAGAAAUCGUCCCUAUG